GGGGAUCGAAAGACCUUGCGCUUUGGGAGCGGCCGAUGUCUGAUUAGCUAGUUGGUGGGGUAAAGGCCUACCAAGGCGACGAUCAGUAGUUGGUCUGAGAGGACGACCAGCCACACUGGGACUGAGACACGGCCCAGACUCCUACGGGAGGCAGCAGUGGGGAAUUUUGGACAAUGGGCGCAAGCCUGAUCCAGCAAUGCCGCGUGAGUGAAGAAGGCCUUCGGGUUGUAAAGCUCUUUCAGUCGAGAAGAAAAGGCUGCAGUGAAUAACUGCAGUUCAUGACGGUAUCGACAGAAGAAGCACCGGCUAACUACGUGCCAGCAGCCGCGGUAAUACGUAGGGUGCGAGCGUUAAUCGGAAUUA
rnacentral:rRNA from 1 species